rnacentral:misc_RNA from 1 species
AAUUCUCAACCAUUAUCAACUUUUGCUGAUAAUGGCUUGGAUGUGGGGGUCUAUUUUGCUGGCUUCUCAAUAGUCAGCUCCCCUUAAAUGCAUUAGCCGGUGCCCCACGUGGACUGUCUAUUGGUGUGAUAAUUAUCUACGCUAUAGACAUCUACAAUCAUAUGGGUUUGCGCUGCUUCCAACAGUCUGUUAAUUCAGACAAUACAUGACA